CUCAGAUCCUGCGUGGCUGUGGCUGUGGUGUAGGCCGGCUGCUGUAGUUCUGAUUUGACCCCUAGCCUGGGAACCUCCAUAUGCCACAGGUUCGGCCCUAGAAAGCUAAAAAACAAAAUGUAUUGUGAGGAAGUUUAGUCUGGUAUGUGUCUGUGUGUGCUGAGUCAUGAAAUAAAAGCCUCUCUUCUGGGUCACUGCAAAAAAAGGGUGAAAGCCAUUGCUGUAAACAAUGAUUUUUCUUUUUCUCUCCUCGUUCUUUAUCUCCCAGACAAGCCCAGCAGCCUUGGACUGUUCUGAACAGAAGGAACUUGAUAAAGAAAGUGAGACAUGUAGAAGAGUGUGUCCAGAUGCCAAUGGAACGAGGGCCUGACCUCUACCGGCUCUCAGCCCACGACUUCCCUUCCUCCCUCUCAAUACCUGGACAGGCAUGACCCUGCUUUUUGUACUGGGCUGUGUCUUCUUCCCGUUGACUUUCGCGCUCCUCUGCUGGGGUCUGCAGAACCACUCCAACCUGCGGAUGGAGAGGCCAGAGGCUGUUUUGGUGGCAUCCAACCGCUGCCGCCGCUGCCGUGGCUCAGAGCUGCAUGGGGAGACGCCGCUGCAGGUCCCGGUCCUCGGUGUCUGGUCGGUGCCAUCAUUUCCCUCCCCCUCCCCCGCCCUCCCCCAGCUGGUGACGUCCCCUCCCCCUCCCCCCAGAGGGGGCAGGGGGCUGGGCACGAACUCUCUAUAAUGCCCUGUGCAGCCUCCGGGGCCCUCUGGAC
rnacentral:lncRNA from 1 species